GAGGGCUGAUUUGGGGGCAAGCUGAAGCCUCGUCUCCACACCAGGGAGCAGGCAGAAGGAAGACCCUCACGGAGCUCUCCAGAGCACGUAACAGGAGAGCCCGCAUUUGGAUGCCUGCCCAUACACUGGGAACAAAGGGCCCGUCGGUGUCAAGUGGAGGCGCUGUCGUGACCAGCUGAGAGGGUUACGAGCUUACCACCGACAGUCUCGUAAAACGAGACCGGCCUCUCCGUCUUCCGCCCCCCACGCCGCAGCAGUGCAUGCUGGGAAGCGGGAGGCGUUGCUAGAACGGGAAGAAGCCGGACCCCCCUCCAAAGUGCUGCUGUCAGCCGCGAGCGCACGUUCCAGUCCCUCGGGGAAACUUUGAAAAAAAAAUUCUUGUGAACUGAGAUUCCCAGUAAACCAGUGCUAUCACUCUGACCUUGCCCCAGAGAUGAGCAAACAGAAGCCUGGAGAAUUUACGUGAUUUGUGCAAGUUCAACACAGCUGAGUCCCAUCUUACCUAUCUGGAACCUAGCCAAGAACCAAGAAAGUGGGCUUCCCUGGUGGCGCAGUGGUUGAGAGUCCGCCUGCCGAUGCAGGGGAUACGGGUUCGUGCCCCGGUCUGGGGAAGAUCCCAUGUGCCGCGGAGCGGCUGGGCCCGUGAGCCAUGGCCGCUGAGCCUGCGCGUCCGGAGCCUGUGCUCCACAACGGGAGAGGCCACAGCAGUGAGAGGCCCGCGUAACGCAAAAAAAAAAAAAAAACAAAAAACAAACAAACAAAAAAGAACCAAGAAAGAAACCAAAAAAUAAAAAUUUUACAAAAGGCUCUAAUAAGUGUAGCUGGAGAUAGUGGAAGUCCUACCGUGUGGCCACUCAGGCACUUUCCAUCUAGGAAGACCCAGCUCUCACCCAACAGCCAUUUUCUUUUCUUUACACACAGUUUUAACAAGUUUGAGGAUCUGGUUAUCCAAACCUAAAUGGAUAGUUUCACGUUGGAAGCGAUGUAAUGGAUGCUAUAGACAUGCGCACUGACAGCCAUGAGAAGCAAGCAGGAGACAGAAGAAAGGAAGUGUGCGUACAGCGGCACGUCUCCGUCUUUUUAGCCCACGCUGCUUUCAAUAAAUGUGAACAUUUCGCCUCCUUCCAGAGUUUCUGACACCUCAGGUAGAUACACCCUCCCUCCUUGCCACACUGGCUGGCCUGAGAAGUGGACUCUGAGUUGGAGGUUGGCACACAGGAGGUUUAUUAAAGAGUGAGCAUGGCAUCCGUGCUGUGGAAGGGAGGGCAAGGAAGUAGGAGUCACUUCUGGAAAAAAGAGAGAAAUUUGUGGCGAGAGAAGGGAACUUUGUUGUUUUUUUUGUGGAGUUUAGAUUCCAGCUUGAAAAUUCAAACUACAGUGUAACCCGACAGUGGCCUUAGCCAACUCCAAGGAAAGAGCUGGAGCUAGCAUAGUUCUUCUGAGUUGUCCUCAGUUGGAUGAAGAUGUCCAUCUUAUAUUCCUGUAUUGAAGGUCACUGAACAUAAGCUGUCUAGGCUCCUUGGGUGCGGAGGCUCUCAGAAGGGGCUGACAGAUGAAAGCUCUCUGUUGACAACGCUCUCUGCAGCUGAGGCAAAAGUCCUUCAUGGAAGGAGACCUGGCUGGCACAUCACAGUGUCCACCAAACGCCAUGACUCAUCCCCUGGAGGGCUAGGAUAUUCUCACCUUCUCUGUGUCUCACUUGAUUGAUGGCUAUGACAGAGACUCCUAGGUAUCCAUCAAAUAUCAUUCCAGAUAUUCUGGUAAUGAUAGCAGGGCUAGAAUAUAUUACUUUCCUGUCAUCCUCAUUAGUAGGUAUAGCCAUUGGCUUUGGCCAGUGAGAUAUAAACAUCAGUAUGUGUGGAGAUCUGGAGAAGCCUUUGCAGAA